CUUAGUACCCGGAGGAAGAGAAAGAAAAUUCGAUUCCCUUAGUAGCGGCGAGCGAAACGGGAAGAGCCCAAACCAACAAGCUUGCUUGUUGGGGUUGUAGGACACUCUAUACGGAGUUACAAAGGACGACAUUAGACGAAUCAUCUGGAAAGAUGAAUCAAAGAAGGUAAUAAUCCUGUAGUCGAAAAUGUUGUCUCUCUUGAGUGGAUCCUGAGUACGACGGAGCACGUGAAAUUCCGUCGGAAUCUGGGAGGACCAUCUCCUAAGGCUAAAUACUCUCUAGUGACCGAUAGUGAACCAGUACCGUGAGGGAAAGGUGAAAAGCACCCCGGAAGGGGAGUGAAAUAGAACCUGAAACCGUGUGCUUACAAGUAGUCAGAGCCCGUUAAUGGGUGAUGGCGUGCCUUUUGUAGAAUGAACCGGCGAGUUACGAUUUGAUGCAAGGUUAAGCAGUAAAUGUGGAGCCGUAGCGAAAGCGAGUCUGAAUAGGGCGUUUAGUAUUUGGUCGUAGACCCGAAACCAGGUGAUCUACCCUUGGUCAGGUUGAAGUUCAGGUAACACUGAAUGGAGGACCGAACCGACUUACGUUGAAAAGUGAGCGGAUGAACUGAGGGUAGCGGAGAAAUUCCAAUCGAACCUGGAGAUAGCUGGUUCUCUCCGAAAUAGCUUUAGGGCUAGCCUCAAGUGAUGAUUAUUGGAGGUAGAGCACUGUUUGGACGAGGGGCCCCUCUCGGGUUACCGAAUUCAGACAAACUCCGAAUGCCAAUUAAUUUAACUUGGGAGUC
rnacentral:rRNA from 1 species